CUCUGUAACUGCUAGAAGCAUAUGAAUUUGUAUGAUUUGUAAGAGGGCAAUUUGGGAGGACCUAUCUGUUUUAAAAUUCUCCUAACCCAUGGAUCUCAUCCCAUUUCUAGAGUUUUUUAUGUAAAAUAUUUCUACCAUUAGGAGAAAUAUAUGCAAGGGGACUUUCUAUGUAGCAAUGUUUUAAUAAAAUAGAAAAUUGGGACAAACCAAAUUUCCAUCACAAAGGAAAUAGAUACACAAAUAAUAAUACACUGAAUAUUAUGCAGUUUUUAAACAUCAGAAAAGGGCUCAGCUUCUGAUUUCCAAUGAUGGUGUUGAAGUGGGUCACAGCCGGUUUACACUUGGUUUUCAUGUGGGAACUCUGGGUGUCUGCCUUAGUUUAAUGAUUUUAUAUGUCACUAAAUUCAGCUAAUGAAAAGCUAUUCCAUGCAUGGCAAAACGGAACUCGAAAACAGUUUCUUGUCAACAAUCGAGUGGACCUGUUUUAUGUACAACCCACGCCUUCAUCUGCCUGCCCCUCAGUCUGUCUGUCCUCACAGUCCUCAUUCAUUAGUGGAACUGAGUGCCCACUGUUGGGUUGACAGUCAGUUGCAUAACCUCCCUGUUCCUAGUCACACAUUAAUUCUUCAAUACAUCCCUUUGGAUCACUUGGGAUUAAACUUCCAUCUCCAAUUUCUUCCCCAGACGUAUUUCUCACUCUUCUCCCAGCACACCCUUCAGCCCAUCCAUGCAGGUUUCUUUGCUUUUCCCACUUUACACCAAACUCCCUGUUUUUACUCCAACUUUUACCUCCUCUUCAAGACAAAACAAGCAAACAAACAAAACUGUAACAGUAUUUUUAAACUUAGCUGUAAUCUUCCUUCAUGAACAUUUCUCCAAAAGCCAUUCCCAUGGUUCUGUGUGUUCCAAAUAUUUUCAAAUAUUAGGUAUAAGGUUGAGCGUUUCAGGAUAUGCUGUUUUGAGCU
rnacentral:lncRNA from 1 species